rnacentral:piRNA from 1 species
UGUUGUCUGAUUGCUCUGGCUAGAAC